UACGGAGGGGGACUAGCGUUGUUCGGAAUUACUGGGCGUAAAGCGCACGUAGGCGGAUUUGUUAGUCAGGGGUGAAAUCCCGAGGCUCAACCUCGGAACUGCCUUUGAUACUGCAAAUCUCGAGUCCGGAAGAGGUGAGUGGAAUUCCUAGUGUAGAGGUGAAAUUCGUAGAUAUUAGGAAGAACACCAGUGGCGAAGGCGGCUCACUGGUCCGGUACUGACGCUGAGGUGCGAAAGCGUGGGGAGCAAACAGG
rnacentral:rRNA from 1 species